GGCCUCUUUGUCAGCUGGAGUUGCGCGGUUGACAACUACAGGCACAAGCCAUUGAAGCUGGAAUGUCCUGUUGCUGGUAUUUCAAUUGACUUAAGCCAACUAUCCCUUCAGUUACAAUAGGAAAGUGCCUCUAAUAAGGCCAAAUAUGCGUACUAACUUGUAGCAACCACGUGUCCGUGCAGUGCCACAGGAGCUAGAGCAGUGACAAUGCUGGUGGCAACAGGGCAGUGUAGCAGGUGCUUCAUGUUCACCUUUUCAACCUUUUCAUUUAAUUGUCACAACUCGGAGGUGGAUUCUGUUAGGGACAGGCUGCCCCAGGACCACUCCGCCCCCGCUAACUCAAUGCAGCUGACCCUUACCCUGAAUACUCUGCAGCUGCAUUCCUGAACCGUUAUCUAGGCGCUAUAGCAAGGUCACCAGACUUGCUACACCGAAGCCCUCUGGGUGGCACGGGGGAGGUCAUGAGAAACGUGGAUUACACCCCCUUGUAAAUUCCUAUUUUCACAAGAUAAUAUAUUGUAAGCCGGUCAUGAGAUUAUAUGUGGUAAAGUUAAUUGACUAACAACCCCAGGGUCUCUCUCCCCCAUAUAAACCCCUCAUUUUGUAAGCUCAGGGCUGCCACCUCCGACUGGUGGAGAAGCCUGGCAGGUUAAUAAACUUACUUGGC
rnacentral:lncRNA from 1 species